UAACGGUUCCAUAUCCAUCAGUCUUGUGUUUUAGCAGAAACUCGUACAGCUCAGGCAAUGUGUAAAAGUUGUCCGUUGUCACACAAUACCCCUAAUUCAGCAAUGGCUCAAGCAGUACAUUCCACAUUUGUCUUGGUGAAAUGGAUUUAGCUGGUUUCCAUACUGUACAGUGAAAAAACAGUUAAUGGUUGUGAAAUCCUACAAGACCAGCAUCAGACUGGUUUAUAUAACAAAUGUUCAGGGAACAAAGCAGAACAUAGCCAAAAAAAGGUUUUCCUCUUGCUGACCUUCAGAAAGUCGCCUUCUAAGCUCUGCAAUCUCCCGUUCUACAGACUCCCUGUACUGGCCCCACUGCCCUCGCUCCUGCUCCAAUCUCCGAUGAAACUGAAGUUC